rnacentral:snoRNA from 1 species
GCAUGGGUUUGGAUUUAUGGCAGGUCUGUCCCCCUGGGCCUCUCAUAGUGUCCCAUGCCAGAGCAAACUGUGGCCCCGAACCAUUGCCUGGCCUGUGCCCAUAGGCUGCUGGCACUGAAGCGGGUUGCACAGAG